rnacentral:rRNA from 1 species
UACGGAGGGGGCUAGCGUUGUUCGGAAUUACUGGGCGUAAAGCGCACGUAGGCGGCUUUACAAGUCAGGGGUGAAAGCCCGCGGCUCAACCGCGGAAUUGCCCUUGAGACUGUAUCGCUUGAACACGGGAGAGGUGAGUGGAAUUCCGAGUGUAGAGGUGAAAUUCGUAGAUAUUCGGAAGAACACCAGUGGCGAAGGCGGC